CUUAUCCCUUCUCUCUCUCUCUCUCUUCUCUCUCCUCUCUCUUCUUUCUUCCCUUGCACGACAGAACCGGCUCCUUUCUUCUCCUUCUUUCUUCUUUCUUCUUCGCGGAAACCAGAAGCGGAAGAAGACCAGAAGUUGCAGCUCCGUCGCCGUCCCGCCGCCGCACCGCCGCCGCACCCGCGCCGCGCCUGUGCGCCCGCCGCCGUCCCGCCGUCCGUCGCUCGCGGCCGCUCCUCCCUCCGCACGAACCAGCCGCUGUUCGCCUCUGUCCAGCCCCCGUCCGGCCACCUCCGGCCACCGCCUAGCCCCGCCGGACCACCCCCGCGACCCCCUCGCCCUCCGCCGGCUUCCCCUUGCCGCCCUAGCCGCCGGAGCAGCCCCGAUCGGCUCCGUCUAGCAGACCCACGGAGUGGGUUUCAGCAUCUUCGGGCCCGCUUUUGGGCCGUUUCCCAGCCCCGGAUCCGCGAGUCGCUUUGGGAACAAUCGUUCCUCGCGUCGCCGCCGUCGGAUUGAUCCGAUUUGCGCGCGAUUUGGUGAGUAAUCUCACUAAUCCUGGAUUAGUUUGCUAAUUAUGCUUAAGGUUGGUUUAGAUUUAAUGAAUUAUGUUUAGGUUGUUAGAUUUGAAUAAAUUAGCAAUUAUUAGUUAAUUGUGAUGCGAUUUAGAUAACUUGAUUGCGUAAUUAGCAAGUAGACGUGGUCUACUAAUUAUUGGAAGUGCCUCGGGAAUUUUCCCGACCCUUAGUGGGCUCCAAUUAGGCUUUUCCGGCCUAAGUGGAAUUUUUUAGUAUUUAAUUAUUAAUUUUCGGAAUUACAUUAAAUAAUUAUUUAUUUUCCGAAAAUUCAACUGAGAUGGCCCGGGAUCGGAAUAGUAUGCUGAUGACUGUGGUGAAGUCCGUUUAUUUAAUCGGGCUUUAUUUUGAGCUAAAUUGAAUUUUUAAUAUUAAUUUUAAUUUUCGAAAUUUAUAAAUUAAUUAAUUAUUUUUCGGAAAUUAAGAUUUUGAUGGCCGACGACCGAAAUCUCGUGCUGAUUGUCGUGGCGCAGUCCGUUUAUUUAUUUGAGCUCUACGUUGUAUGGAAUUGAAUAAAUUGUGAUAUUUUAGGGAUUUACCCUAAAUUGAUUGGAAUUGAUUGUGAUUGAAUUGUUGAUUGGUAAAUGGCCAAGUAUGUUAUUCAGUAUUUUAAUGCUUUGUUGAGUUGAUUUAAUUAUUUGAUUGAGAAAUCGUUGGGCGUUGGUUAUUGGUGUUGAAAGUAGAUUGGUGACCACUUGAAAGAGGACACGUGGGCCCGGUGAAUUGGAAUGUCACCUGGAGAAUGCACGUGAGUUUAGUGGUUGAAUAUGUCACCUUGGCGAAAAGGUCGCCUGAGAGAAUGCACGUGGCUCGGUGACAGAGGCUGGCAUCUAAAAGGGCACGUGGGCUCGGCGAAUUGAUGCAUCGCUUUGGUGAGAUGCACCUAAGAGAAUGCACGUGGGCCCGGGCAUCUAAAAGGGCACGUGGGCUCGGUGACUUGAUGCAUCACUUUGGCGAAAAGGUCGCCUGAGAGAAUGCACGUGG
rnacentral:lncRNA from 1 species